CAUAAAAUGGAGAUCUGAUUUACCCUGAUUUAGUGUUAUUAGCAAAGUUAGAGCAUUUAUUUGUUGAGAUCAUUUACUAGAACCAAUAUUGUAUAAUCUUUUUGCAUUACAUUGGUUACAUACUUGAUUCAGUUUUCAAAUUUGAUUUGAUUAUAGUUCUUCCUAAGCUCAUAUUUUGUAAGAUUCCUUGUCAACUUUCAGCUAGAGCGUAUGCUAAAUGAAUCUAAAUUCCUUUUCAUUCUUUUUUUUUUCUGGAACAGGCAAUACUAGAAACAGUUGCCCAGGCUAAGUCAAAUAAAAACGAGCGAAAGAGGAAAACGUAAAUAGGUCGUUUCAGCUAAAUGAUAAUUUGGAUAAUGAUAAUGGAGUGGAAGAAACCCCGACACUGGUAAAUCACAAAGGUAAGAUUGCUUCAUAACUACUGCAGGUAUCUGUCACUAUGGUUACAAGUGAAUUUACUAUUUCAUUUUCGACAAUGUCUUUAUAAUAUCAAAUUUUUAAUCAACAUAUCCAAUGCUGCAGCUAGACUUGAGGUAAAUUUACAUCUUCGACCUGUUCUUAUUGUAAUCUAGGAUAGGCUAUUCAAUGGGAGGUUAUACUCCUAAAUGAUGAUGACAUCUCUUGUAGGUUCCAACUCAAAGCACCGGCCAUUUUCAAUUUCGGUACUUUUCCCUUUUGAUCUAGAUGGUUAGAGAUAAAAAAAAAUUCAUGUUGAUAAAUUUGAGGCUUCAUUAUUCGUUGUAAUCUGAUUACCGUUUUGGCACUCUACUCUGCACAGGGAUUUUCACCGUCUGGUAAUAAUCAAAUUGUGAUUUGGCUGUAGGAGGUUAAUAUGCUAUGUUCUUGACUUCCCAUAGUUAAAUCAUGGCAAAGACAAGUGGUAUGCACCCUUCAAUGGUUUCCUAAGCUUCUAGUGUAUUGAGCAACUGCCAAUAUUGAAGAUGUUGAUGUCACUGAUAAUAAGAUAAAGGUUGUUGAUGUAGCAAAGCUACCUGUACAAACUGUUUCUUAUGGAAAAAAGAGCUAAAAGAGGUGUUGGAAGCAGAUUCUCCUCUGCGAAUUUGAAGAACAGCUAUUUACUAAGCUUAGAGUUAGAUGAAGGUGGAGAUGGAGUUAUGAUGCCAUACUUCUAUUAGUAGCAGAGAAGUUGUCUUUAGUUAAUUGGACUUGCCUAUAGGAAUAUUAGUCAGGUUUUUUUGUUUUUGUGUUUUGGAUGAAAACCGUACACGUUAUUUGCUCAUAUAAUUAGGUGCUUGUGGUUUAUCUUUUCUUUUACUUACAAACAAAAUUAGACUUAAUUGUUGUUUCUUCUGUGGUGCUGAGUUAAUAAUCCAGCCAGUUUGAUUAAUCAAGCUC